rnacentral:rRNA from 1 species
AACGAACGACUCUCGGCAACGGAUAUCUCGGCUCUCGCAUCGAUGAAGAACGUAGCGAAAUGCGAUACUUGGUGUGAAUUGCAGAAUCCCGUGAACCAUCGAGUCUUUGAACGCAAGUUGCGCCCGACGCCUUCUGGCUGAGGGCACGCCUGCCUGGGCGUCACGCACCGUCGCCC